CUUGUCUCAAAAAAAAAUAUUGUUACAAGAAAUUUGGGAUUUUAUAAUGGAUUAUCUCACCCACAGCAGAUUCAAUCAUGAUAUAUUUCCCCUAAUAAUCUACUUAUUAUCUAGAUGUAUUUCAGUGGGAACAAAAUUAUGACAAAAUUCAGAUUGAGGUGAUUGAUAGGUAAAAAGUGUACAAAAAAAGUGAUAGUUGGUAUUCAACGUAUCCAAAUGGCCUGUUUAUCUUGAUUCCCUCCCACUUAGCAUUGCUUGAGUCAUGACUAGUGAGAGGUAUGAUAAAGGUCUGUGGGAGAAGUUAGACCUAGCACUCAGCCACUGGUAAAAUUUGCUAGCAAGAUGUUGGGCUGGCUCAUAUCUGCUUCUGAUGGAAUGAGUUAUAAUGGAAAGACUUUCCUUUCCUUAACAUUUAUUUAAUGUCUAUGUGAUGUUAUUCAACAAGUGAGUUUCAUUGUGCCCUGAAUUUAUAUGUAAGUAAUUUUAUGAUAAUAUAUAAUAUUCAGGCUAAAGAAGACUAAGGAGACAUGCAGUGUGGCACCACUUUGGGAGAAAUCAAAAGGUUCUGGCUUCAGUGAUCCUCUCACUGGAGCACCAUCUCAAUACUUAGAGAGACUUUCCAAAAUAGCCAUAUUGGAAUAUGAUACCAUUCGUCAGGAAACAACCACAAAAUC
rnacentral:lncRNA from 10 species